rnacentral:rRNA from 1 species
GAUGAACGCUGGCGGCGUGCCUAAUACAUGCAAGUCGAGCGAACAGACGAGGAGCUUGCUCCUCUGACGUUAGCGGCGGACGGGUGAGUAACACGUGGAUAACCUACCUAUAAGACUGGGAUAACUUCGGGAAACCGGAGCUAAUACCGGAUAAUAUAUUGAACCGCAUGGUUCAAUAGUUAAAGACGGUUUUGCUGUCACUUAUAGAUGGAUCCGCGCCGCAUUAGCUAGUUGGUAAGGUAACGGCUUACCAAGGCAACGAUGCGUAGCCGACCUGAGCGGGUGAUCGGCCACACUGGAACUGAGACACGGUCCAGACUCCUACGGGAGGCAGCAGUAGGGAAUCUUCCGCAAUGGGCGAAAGCCUGACGGAGCAACACCGCGUGAGUGAUGAAGGACUUCGGAUCGUAAAACUCUGUUAUUAGGGAAGAACAAAUGUGUAAGUAACUAUGCACGUCUUGACGGUACCUAAUCAGAAAGCCACGGCUAACUACGUG